rnacentral:rRNA from 1 species
AUUGAACGCUGGCGGCAUGCCUUACACAUGCAAGUCGAACGGUAACGCGGGGCAACCUGGCGACGAGUGGCGAACGGGUGAGUAAUGUAUCGGAACGUGCCCAGUUGUGGGGGAUAACUGCUCGAAAGAGCAGCUAAUACCGCAUACGACCUGAGGGUGAAAGCGGGGGAUCGCAAGACCUCGCGCAAUCGGAGCGGCCGAUAUCAGAUUAGGUAGUUGGUGGGGUAAAGGCUCACCAAGCCGACGAUCUGUAGCUGGUCUGAGAGGACGACCAGCCACACUGGGACUGAGACACGGCCCAGACUCCUACGGGAGGCAGCAGUGGGGAAUUUUGGACAAUGGCCGCAAGUCUGAUCCAGCCAUGCCGCGUGCGGGAGGAAGGCCUUCGGGUUGUAAACCGCUUUUGUCAGGGAAGAAAAGGCUCCUUCUAAUAUAGGGGGCUCAUGACGGUACCUGAAGAAUAAGCACCGGCUAACUACGUGCCAGCAGCCGCCGUAA